AUCCAGCUGACGAGUCCCGAGUAGAACGAAAUGUGCAUCCUGGAU
rnacentral:hammerhead_ribozyme from 1 species